UCCCUUUAUGGAGAGUUUGAUCCUGGCUCAGGACGAACGCUGGCGGCGUGCCUAAUACAUGCAAGUCGAGCGGAGUUAUUCCUUCGGGGAUGGCUUAGCGGCGGACGGGUGAGUAACACGUAGGCAACCUGCCCUCAAGACCGGGAUAACAUUCGGAAACGAAUGCUAAGACCGGAUACGCAAGCCUGGGGCAUCUCGGGCUUGGGAAACACGGUUUCGG
rnacentral:rRNA from 1 species